AAAGGCCUUCAGGUUAGCUUCACUGCUGUUGGUGUCCAAAGCAAGUUCUCCCAGAGCCUACUGGACAGUGUCUUCUGGAAAGGGAUCACGGCAACUGAAUCUAGGUAAGAUGGAAGUGAGCCCCUGGCCAUGACCAGCUUCUCUCCUGGGAGCUGCAUCAUGGAAGAGAAAGCCCUCCAUCAUCGCUGUCUGACAGUGGGAUGGGGACCAGCCUGCCCACCCAGCCCUGUGUGGCUGCUCUGAAUGUUCUUCCCAGAGAGUGGACUAAGCUCCACUGAGAUCUGGCCUUCCUGCACUUGGGGGGCACACAUUUAACAUGGACUUUUUCUGCCUAGGGAUUUCUGGUUUUGACUGAUACUGACUCCACUGGCUGACCCCUGACUAGGGUUGCUUGUAGCUGGCUACCAGCAAGUCUCAGAACCAUUUUGCAUCAGUUCAACUGCACCUGCUCUUGUUCAUCUAUUGUCUGACUAAAGAUGCUAACAACCAUCGUGAGGAAAGCUCAGAUGCCAGCACUACUGGACCUAAAGGCCUGAGGGCUGCUGUUCCUGCCACUGCCCCCUCACUGAGCCCCCUGAAUUUGUUAUUGGAUACUUAAACCAUGAGGAGCAGUAUUACAUUUGUUCCUACCCCAUGGAUCUGCAAGGGUAGAGUGCCAUGGCAUCAUAAUAGCUCACUGCAACCUCCAAC